GUUAUUAGCUAUCAGGACAAAAACAUUUUAGAUUUGCCUUCAAUAGUUCAGAUGUGUUACAUUAAUAAAGGGUACAACCAGAAGAUAGACCACUCUUUGUGUCAGACAGCCCAGUUAUCACAUCAUUUGUAAAUUACUUUAUUCCACUAAUACAUCACAACACAAAAUACUACAAUUGUUUUGGAUUGGAAACCUCUAAAAUAUUCCAAUAAUUUCAAAAAAACAUGACGCUAUAAAAUUGUAUGACAUAAAAAUAAUUUUUGAUUGAUUUACUAUGAGAGAAAAAAUUUGUGAACAAAACUUCAGAGACACUAAAAAUGGAGGACGUGAAAGAGGAAAAUUACCAGCAGUAGCGAUGCUUACUUUAUCUGACAGAUUUAUAGCAAUUCAUUGAAAAUUCUGCAUUUCGAAAGGUUAAGUAAACGAUUAACUACUGGGAAAAUGGUACUGUAGUUCUAAUGUUAAAAAGAUAUCUGUUUACAAAAGCAUCAGUGGGACAAUUCUAUGGACUACUAAAAUGGAAAACUGGCCAGAACCGGGGGUCGUUGUUGUUGUUUGGUUGUUUUUCAUCUGUUUGUUGUUUGUUCUUUGCAGGAAUCUUCUGACCUGAAAUACUAUGAAAUCCAAAAUAUUUCAGCUAAAUUAGACCAUUAUAUUUUCUGUUUGGUAGUAUUUCUUCUGGCUUGUCAUUUUUUAUGGUUACACUUUUUUAGUAUAUCUUACACCUGUUCAAACCAUGUUUUGCUCAGGGUAUACCUAAUAUCCACAUGGGAAACAAAACAAAGCUGAUUUCUUUCAGCAGGAAAAUAUCAUGCUAGCAGAGGUACAGUCCUUUGAUUUUGUGUGAAGUUUUUAAUGACCAUCACAUGGUAUCACUGAGAUAUAGAGCUUAACUAUUGUUUCCUGUGAGAGUCCUGACGAAUGUCUUGCAAAGCUGGCAAAAUACAGAGGGAUCCCAAAUCUGUCUGAUAAAAUGGAUCUGCCAGCGGCAGCAAUUUACCUGUGUGAAGCUGAUCUCUUGCCUGACAUUUUUCAAGUGAGAUGUCACUGCUUUUACGCACUCUUCAAAGUCGGCCAGCUUAUCCUGCAGAUGAAUGCACUAAGACUGCUAAUAGAAUGGAAAAAAAAUGAGAGGAGAGGUUGAGGGGACUGCACAGGGCUUUGCGGUUUCUCUGGAGAAGCAAUGAUGUAUUCCAUGAUUGCCAGUUUCAUCUAAGUUUACUCUUGACAUUACGUAAACUGAAUUGUGAAAAUAAUGCAGAAAUUCUAGCAAAGGAAAAGAUACUAAGUAAAGUACCUACGUAAGUACUUUGCUGUAUUGAGGCCUUCAAAAAGUAAAGUGUGGCAAGACAGAAACCUGCUUUUGGAACACUUGAGAGCAGAGUACCUUGAACUGACAACUGAUCUCUUCUUAAAAUGGACUACUUUGUACUUCAGAUUACAUCAGGUAAUCCCAUAGUAAAAGAAAUAAGCUUUUCAGUUUGCUUACAGUUUCACACAGAUGCAUUGCUAAUCUUCCUCCCUAUGAGUUCCCUUCUCACUUUUCCAUAGUGCGUUUCUUCACUUGGAUUGAUGUGCAUCCCUCUGCUACUCCAGAUACACCUCUGCUUAUGUGCUGCUGUUUUGGUUUUUAUGUCCUGUGGCACUAAAUUCUUAUACCUCAGAUCAUGUAUUUAUGAUAGCAACAUGCCUGCUGUCCACUGUCUCUUGCAAAUCUUGCUCAGGACUUCACUGACCUUUUUUUAGACUAGGUCUUGACUUUGAGAAAUCAAAUACUAGUACUCAGAGCCAGGGAUUAAACAGGCACAUCUUUAUGUCUGCAAGAAGUAGCUAGUAAUUCAUAUCACAUAAAUCUACAUUACCUGAGACCCUGCUCUGGUCCAGUCCAACACUAGAAAUGCAGGUAUCUCUGUACGUGACACUGACACUAAAAGCUGGCCCAGGUGUCAAGUCAAAACAAAGGUAGUCUAGACUCAUCAAGAUCAAACAAACACCAAAAUUGGAUAAGCAAUAGAGAAGAAAUAAUAAUUUCUUCUCCUGCCUUCCACUGAAAGUAUGCAGAAGACAGAUAUUAUUCAUUUGGGUUUGUGUGGGUAACAACGGUAAUAGGGAGGAUAUAACCUGUAACGCUUGGAGACCAGAGCUUGUAGACUUGAGUGUCUAAAGCUAACACCAUGACAGGCCUUUCCACACCAUUACUUAACCAUGACUUCAUGCUACCACAGAGGUCCCUCUCUGGUGCUCAGUGCAUUUCACUUUCUGGCUUGGAACAAAGUCAACCACAAGCCAGGUUAUUUUGAUCAGCUGCAUCCACUCUAGCAUGCAAAAGAGGCAGAUGUAAAGUGAUAACAAAAAUUACUAAACCAAGCCAACCCCAUGAAAAGUUGUAUUCUGAAUGGAUGAGCUUCCGACUAUAAAGUCCAUUAAACAGCAGUGUUCUCAUUUAUGUUCAUUAAAAUUUCAGUGAAAUGAUUUUGCAGUUUCUUUGCAUUGUGCCAGAACGAACAUUGUGCUUACAGCAGGCAUUGUCUAGUGCUUCUCUUUGCUUUUAGAAUGACAUCAAACUUUUAGUUUAGAUUUGCUUACUUCCCUGUGCUGCUGCUGCUGACAAAAAUAGGAAGACCACCAAGCAAUGGUAAGCCAGAAGUUCAUCCAGUGUGAAAAAACAAGGCUCAUACAUUGACAUUCAGCGUGAAAUAAUUUCACAUAGUAGCCUGAUGCCUGGAUGUAUAUUUUUCUUUUGCUGAGCAUG